rnacentral:rRNA from 1 species
UACGUAGGGGGCAAGCGUUGUCCGGAAUCAUUGGGCGUAAAGAGCGUGUAGGCGGCUCGAUAAGUCUGCUGUGAAAGUCCAGGGCUCAACCCUGGAAGGCCGGUGGAAACUGUAGGGCUAGAGUCCGGAAGAGGCGAGUGGAAUUCCCGGUGUAGCGGUGAAAUGCGCAGAUAUCGGGAGGAACACCAAUGGCGAAGGCAGCUCGCUGGGACGGUACUGACGCUGAGACGCGAAAGCGUGGGGAGCAAACAGG